UCAAACUAGUUCUUUUGCUCUUGCCAGUCCGAUACGUUACUUUUCUUGCAAAAGUCUAUCUCUAAGAUCAAGUUAUUAACACUUAAAUUUAUUAGCAAAAGAAAAAAUUUAGAAAUUACUAAUUAUUUGAGUCCCCAACAUCGACACUAAAAAUUUGUUGCGGUCUAUUGCAUAAGCAAAUGCACGCAAUCAUACAAGUAAUAUAGUGACUCAAAGAAUCAAAUAUCUU
rnacentral:lncRNA from 1 species